UCCACUGUGACCGUCAAGUGUCAAACCAGGUUGUUUAGAUUAUGCCGCUAAAAGUGGGCAAUACCGAAAACAUGGAAAACCAAACAAAUUUGACAAAAAAGCCUGAGAUAUUAACCACCACUGUUACAGACCCGUUCAGCAAUCAAGAAUAUCUCCAAAGAAAGCUGUAUUUUUUACUGGAACAUCUUAAGAAAAUGCACAGCGAUCUCCCAGAACAAUAUCAGAUGAGAAUAUCUUACGACCUAUUAGCCGGCCUUGCCAACUCCUUGCUAAACGAUACGAUCUUUGAAAUCGUCAAAGGGUUGAUGGAGAUUCAGCACGUGACUGAGGCACAUUUGAUGCAAGUUCGAGAGAAGGUUGAGAAUGACCAUCAGCUGGAGGUGAAACAAUGGGAGUCGAAAAUACAGGAUCCCGAAGAGCUGGAACACAUUAUUGCACUGAUGAAAAUUAAACAUGGAAAGAAUAUGAAAGAUACCGACAUGAAAUUAGUACUCCAUCUAGACCAAAAAGUGAAAGAUCAGCAAUCCACUCUUGAGAAGGCUGGAGUGCCCGGAUUCUAUGUAACAGACAACCCGAAGGAGAUCAAUAUCCAGAUGUAUCUAUUAGACUUCAUUCUUCGGCUUAGUAGACUUAAAUUUGAGUCGAACAAAUAGCAUUCGGAGGAAGGCGAAUAAUUCAUAGCGGUUGCUGAAAUCAAUUCCAUAACAGCUGCUGCCAAUGCGCUAUGAGCGUAUUCAUCUCGCUUCUGACCGUCUUUAUACUGGUGGCUGUAGCGGUCGCUUUGGGAAUAUACUUUGGAUUGCUGAACGUCGAUGAUACAGCACCGGAUGUUUCCAAUUUUGUCCACAAAACUGGCGAUUCCAUUAAGGACAGCAUUAAAAACAAGUUUAAUUAGUGGACUUUUUUGCUGCAUGGUUGCUUAUUUCUGAACCAUUUAAAUCACAAUAAUGAAUCUCAAAAUAAUAUUUUUAUGCGUUACAUCCGGGUGUACAGUGGAUGAAUAUUGCCCGGUAAUGUAAGCAAAGGAAUUCGUACAAAUAAUGUGCUUUAUUCGUCUAUACAUCAAUAUGUCAACCAUUCAAACAAAUUGCUAAAAUAUGCUCAGGAAACAUUCAUACCAUUGACGGAAUGCAUCUCAGCUUGUUCAAGCUGCAUUCUAUUUGCCAUCGCCAUUGCGGUUGCUAUUUACUAUGGAGUUAUUCAUGUCGACGAGAACGCUUCCGAUACAAUCAAGGAGACAGGAUCAAAAAUAAAGCAUUCCAUUAAAGAUGGCUUAAAGAAACUAGGCGAGGAUUGAAUCGACGUUAGUGCUGCCGGAGCUGUAACAUGCAGAACUAAAGCCACCUGAAAUGCAACGCCACUCGUAACCAAAUACGUGCCAGCUAAUGAGAAUCGAAGCAUUUGCUCCACUAUAUACAAACAGAUGAAUCUAUUCUAUUAACGUGCGACAUACCUCGUGGGGAAGUACUACAAUGCGUAUAUGGAUCUGGAAAUCUCUGCCGUGUGCUAAUUUAUUCAUUCGCUUUUUGUAACAGUUUUUAGUCAUGAGUUUUUGAAAACAAAGCAUCACUCCUACUUCUAAUAUUUAGUCGAAGCGUUACAUGUAGAACUGCUACGGAUGACAUGACUUCCUAUGUAGACUCCAUAAAUGCGAUCUGUGUGUUAAAAAACGCACAACACAAU